GAAAUUUGACAGCACAUAUACUAAAAUUGGAUCGAUACAGAUAAGAUUAGCAUGGAAGAAAGCAUGGCAGAAAGGAUGACAAGCAAAUCCGCAAAGCGCUCCAUAUUUUA
ensembl:snRNA U6 U6 spliceosomal RNA